rnacentral:rRNA from 1 species
UACGAAGGGGGCUAGCGUUGUUCGGAAUCACUGGGCGUAAAGCGCACGUAGGCGGAUGUGCCAGUCAGGGGUGAAAUCCCGGAGCUCAACUUCGGAACUGCCUCUGAUACAGCACGUCUUGAGUCCGGAAGAGGUGGGUGGAAUUCCGAGUGUAGAGGUGAAAUUCGUAGAUAUUCGGAAGAACACCAGUGGCGAAGGCGACUCACUGGACACAUAUUGACGCUGAGGUGCGAAAGCGUGGGGAGCAAACAGG